CAAAGAAAUACCAUUCACAAAGAGAGAAUAGAAUACCUGUAUAGCUCCGACUUUGGCAUCGAUCUGCUACCAACAUUUCCCAUAGAACUAAAACCAACAAAACCACCAUCGGAACCACAGCAGCAGCAACAGUGGCAGUAACACCAUCACCACCACCACCUUCACCAUCUCUAUUGCUAUAUACACGUAUAUACUGAUUUCCAGACACUGAUGAUCCGGAACUUGUUAUAAUUCGCAUUAAUUUACAAGAAGGAAUUUCAAAUUCUUGCAGCCACCAGACCAGUUUACUCGGCUGCCCAGUUUCACAGCACCUUACACUGAAGAGAAUUAAUAAUAAACUCUUGUCAUUUAUAUUAAUCUACAGGUACCUGUAUUUCCUUUAAUUAUUUGGUAAGUUUCAGAAUUGUUUAACUUAGAGGUGACUACCACUGGCUCCGGAACUAAAUACUUAGGAACUGUUACUGAGUUUUUUUUCCCAGUUUUCGCUAAUGAUGGUAAAAAAAAAUCAUCUUUAUUCUUUGGCUUACUGUUUUGCACAGCUCAACCCAACCUUUCCCAAAGAUUUUCGAUGAGAUUUAGGUUGGGCGACUGCGCUGGCCACUGCAUCAAACCAAACUCUCUGAAACCUAAUGUAAUCUCUGACUGGGUGCGAGUUGUGUUUCGGGUCGUUGUCAUGCUCGCAAGUCCAAGAUCGGCCCAAAUGCUUUCGGGCGUAUGGAAGCAUAAACUCAUCCAAUAUUUCUAGAUAUGACUUACUAUCCAUAAUGCCCUUGACUCGGAUUAUAGGACCGACGCCUUUUCCAGACAUGCACCCCCACACCAUCACACUUCCACCACCGUGCUUAAUUGCUGGUUGGAUAAUUCUGGAUGAUAUUCUUCGCCUAUACGCCUUCUUACAUACUUCCUGCCAUCACUGCCAAACAAAUUGAACUUUGACUCGUCUUACCACAACACAUUCGACUAAUCUCCCGGACUCCAAUUCAAAUUCUCUUUUGCGAACUGUAUUCGGACACGUCGAUUUUUUAAAGAAAUGUAUGGCUUUUUGCAAGAGACUCUUCCUAGAAGUCCAAAUUCUUCGAGAUGGUUUUUAUGGUAGACAUUCCAAAGGUGGGAAAAUACUGCCGUCGACGAUUACUAACCCUACAUUCAAGCGAGACCUAUGAAGGAAAAGUGCUUCCGCGCCUGGGACUGUACAGCUACAACAUAUACAGUAGUAGCAGUGUAGUUCCAAUGCAAGACUGUCCCAUUCAUUUCAGUCACUCUACAGAUGUGCCUACACCUCAAUCUGAUUCUAUUACAAUGGCCCCUGCUCCGCGUAUUCCGUUGAUUUUUGCGUCAUUACCCAUUCAGGGUCACUACCUGCAAUACUCAACUUUCAGCUACUCAAGGUGAACAUCAGAUAUGCUCAUCACACACCUAUGUCUUGAAGACCCCUACAAACCUUGACUGCAGCUACUUCAAGAUGAAACCGUUAAGAAAUGUCAGUUUUUCCAAGUGGCUACAAAAAGUACCAGCAAAAUUCGAUCGAUGCUUUAGAAGAUGCCUAAUCGCAGAAUCGCCACGUUUUGAAAUUCCAACAUCAGAAUCAUCACAAUGGUAUAAAUAGUUUACGUU